AUGUGAGGAGAAGAGGCAGAAGUGAAGCCAGGCACAGGCCCGGGCAGACCGGGGAGGCCAGGAGGUCACCACCCUGCUCCCAGCCCCUACACCACUUCUUGUCUCCACACAGGGAAGGUUAGCCCUCAUAUCACUCGAUCACUCGAGGCAGAACCCUCUGGUCACAUCACAGAAUGUCCUUAGUGAGUCUCCGAGGCACAGACUUCUGCAUGCCCAGGAAUGUUUUCCUUCACCCUCUCUGAAGGGUGGCUUUGCUGCAGCUGGCACCGUGCUGAUGGUCACUUCUCACCUGACAUCGGGACACCCUUCAUUGACACCUUAGAGCCAGUGCAGCAGCCUUCUCUGCUGCUUUGGAGUCUUGGUGCACGUAUGCUUGCAUGCGCAUCAGAAGCCUGAAGUUCCAUUUGUCAUCUGUCACGGUGUUUGGAGGACUGGUUGAACAUCGGGCUUCUGAGGAUUCUCUUGAUUCUGCCUUCCACCUUGCCACAGGAGUUCUGGGACCUCACUACCAUGUUUAGCUUUACACGGAUCCUGGAGACUCAAACCCAGGCCCCCAUGCUUGCAUGGCAAGCCCUUUACCCACCGCUGGCUAGUUUUAUGUCAAAUUAGUACAAGCUAGGGUUAUGUGAGAGGAGGGAACCUCAGUAAAGAAAAAUGCCUCUGUAAGAGCAGGCUGUAGGCCAGCCUGGAGGGGAUUUUCUUGGUUACUGAUUGAUAAUGGAGGGCCCAGCCCAUUGUGGACGUUGCCACCGCUGGGCUGGCGGUGCUGUAAGAAAGCAGGCUGACGAGUAUGAAGCUAGUAAGCAGUCUUUCCCUGUGGCCUUUGUAUCUGCUCCUGCCUCUAGGUUCCUAGCCUGCUUGAGUCCC
ensembl:lincRNA 9130204K15Rik RIKEN cDNA 9130204K15 gene